UACCGCGGUUAUACGAGGGGCCCAAGUUGAUAAAUACCGGCGUAAAGGGUGGUUAGGGCACAUUUAAACUAAAGCAAAACACCACCAAAGCUGUUAUACGCACCCGGAGGUAUGAGUAACCACCACGAAAGUGGCUUUACCCCCCCCCCCUGAACCCACGAAAGCUAUGCCA
rnacentral:rRNA from 1 species